GACGAACGCUGGCGGCGUGCCUAAUACAUGCAAGUUGAGCGCUGAAGGUUGGUACUUGUACCAACUGGAUGAGCAGCAAACGGGUGAGUAACGCGUGGGGAAUCUGCCUUUGAGCGGGGGACAACAUUUGGAAGCGAAUGCUAAUACCGCAUAAAAACUUUAAACACAAGUUUUAAGUUUGAAAGAUGCAAUUGCAUCACUCAAAGAUGAUCCCGCGUUGUAUUAGCUAGUUGGUGAGGUAAAGGCUCACCAAGGCGAUGAUACAUAGCCGACCUGAGAGGGUGAUCGGCCACAUUGGGACUGAGACACGGCCCAAACUCCUACGGGAGGCAGCAGUAGGGAAUCUUCGGCAAUAGACGAAAGUCUGACCGAGCAACGCCGCGUGAGUGAUGAAGGUUUUCGGAUCGUAAAACUCUGUUGGUAGAGAAGAACGUUGGUGAGAGUGGAAAGCUCAUCAAGUGACGGUAACUACCCAGAAAGGGACGGCUAACUACGUG
rnacentral:rRNA from 1 species